rnacentral:misc_RNA from 1 species
AAAAAAAAAAAAAAGUUAGGAGAAUCCAAGUUAACAUAUGCAUUUGGAAGAGAUCAUUUUCAUGAUUUGUCCUUGGGAAGAUAAAAAAAAAAACAUCUAUGAAUUUAACCAUCCAACCCAAGCUGAAAUAAUAUGAACUAUUGAGUUGGUUGUUUUGCUUAGUUACAAGAAGUUAGGUUAUGGUUGGUUAUUUUUGAAAUAAUUGAUAUCAAAUAUUUAGAUGUUAAUUGAACCCAGCACAAGGAAUACUAAAGUGAAAUAUUAGACAAGCAAACAGGAGCUAAAUAGAUAUUAGUAUUUUACAAAAGAAUUAGAGAACAUACCCCA